UACGUAGGGUGCGAGCGUUGUCCGGAAUUAUUGGGCGUAAAGAGCUUGUAGGCGGUCUGUCGCGUCUGCUGUGAAAAUCCGGGGCUCAACCCCGGACUUGCAGUGGGUACGGGCAGACUAGAGUGUGGUAGGGGAGACUGGAAUUCCUGGUGUAGCGGUGAAAUGCGCAGAUAUCAGGAGGAACACCGGUGGCGAAGGCGGGUCUCUGGGCCGAUACUGACGCUGAGGAGCGAAAGUGUGGGGAGCGAACAGG
rnacentral:rRNA from 1 species